rnacentral:rRNA from 1 species
UACGUAGGAUGCAAGCGUUGUCCGGAAUUAUUGGGCGUAAAGAGUUCGUAGGCGGUUGCCUAAGUCUGGUGUUAAAUACAGGAGCUCAACUUCUGCAUGGCACUGGAAACUGGGCGGCUAGAGUGUGGUAGAGGUCACGGGAAUUCCAGGUGUAGCGGUGAAAUGCGUAGAUAUCGUAAGGAAGACCAGUGGCGAAGGCGGGUCUCUGGACAGUUCCUGACGCUGAGGCACGAAGGUCAGGGGAGCAAACGGG